GGUCUAUGAAGAAUCGUCUUCGAGGAGU
rnacentral:sRNA from 1 species